rnacentral:rRNA from 1 species
CCUACGGGUGGCAGCAGUGAGGAAUCUUGCGCAAUGGGAGCAAUCCUGACGCAGCGACGCCGCGUGAAUGAUGAAGGCCUUCGGGUUGUAAAGUUCGAUAAGCAGGGAAGAAUAAGCGCCGGGUAAUAUUCGGUGUGAUGACGGUACCUGCCUAAAGCCCCGGCUAACUACGUGCCAGCAGCCGCGGUAAUACGUAAGGGGCGAGCGUUGUUCGGAAUUAUUGGGCGUAAAGGGCGCCUAGGCGGGGGACUAAGUUAGUUGUGAAAGCUAUGGGCUCAACCCAUAAAUUGCAUCUAAGACUGGUUCUCUUGAGUUCGGGAGAGGAGAGCGGAAUUCCAGGUGUAGCGGUGAAAUGCGUAGAUAUCUGGAAGAACACCAGUGGCGAAGGCGGCUCUCUGGCCUAGAACUGACGCUGAAGCGCGAAAGCGUGGGGAGCGAACAGGCUUAGAUACCCCAGUAGUC